rnacentral:rRNA from 1 species
GUGGGGAAUAUUGGACAAUGGGCGAAAGCCUGAUCCAGCCAUGCCGCGUGUGUGAAGAAGGUCUUCGGAUUGUAAAGCACUUUAAGUUGGGAGGAAGGGUAGUAACCUAAUACGUUGCUACUUUGACGUUACCGACAGAAUAAGCACCGGCUAACUUCGUGCCAGCAGCCGCGGUAAUACGAAGGGUGCAAGCGUUAAUCGGAAUUACUGGGCGUAAAGCGCGCGUAGGUGGUUCAGUAAGUUGGAAGUGAAAUCCCCGGGCUCAACCUGGGAACUGCUUUCAAAACUGCUGAGCUAGAGUACGGUAGAGGGUGGUGGAAUUUCCUGUGUAGCGGUGAAAUGCGUAGAUAUAGGAAGGAACACCAGUGGCGAAGGCGACCACCUGGACUGAUACUGACACUGAGGUGCGAAAGCUUGGGGAGCAAACAGGAUUAGAUACCCUGGUAGUCC